CUCGGCUACAAUUCUGUCUCAUUUUCACUUGUUACAUCUAUGAUGAUAAUAGACUGGAAAUGCUGAAGAAUAUGGAGCACUUUCACAUGCACAGUCAAGUUACGAUGAAUGCUUGGGAUCCAAAGGAAAACAAUGUUGAAUCCCCAUCGAACACGAUUAAGGCACGAGAAGCGACAUGUUUUUGGUUUACAUUUGGUUGAACAAGUUGCAGUAGUGAAAAUUUUCCAAUGCUGUGAAAAAAAAAGAGGACACUUUAGCUAGGUACAGUCACGUGUGACGUGCAUAAUGGUUAAACCAGCCUGAUAGAGGGUCCAUCAUUGCGUACAGAAAAUUAAAAUUAUCACAAGGUUGAGAUUUUUAGGCCUAGUUUCUCUGUCAUUGAAGGUACACUGUCACAUAAAGAUUCAUCUUCCCUAUGUAAAUGUCCUUUAGUUCAGGUUUCAUAAGAGAUAAUUAAUCACCAUAAAUUGGAAACUUUCAAGGUCUCUUUGAUACAACAAUAUUAUAUCAGAUUAGCUUCCAUGACAUAGAUUUACUUUUUUUAAAUCUGCAUAUCUUUCAAGCUGCUCUAUCUUGCAACUAGUUUCAGCACCACUAGAACCUGGUGGAACAUCCAGCUAGGCGACCGUAUCUCGAUCCGUGGGGUUGCUAUGCUGUGAUGCUAUGGCCAUGGAGAAUAUAGGAACACAAGCAGAAGGCUAAUGCAUUUUCAAUUUGCCAACAUUUUCAACCCCUUCUGCAAGUACCAUCGCCUGAAAUUGCAAGCAGCAGUGAGGAGUGCACUACAAAAUGCUCCGGUCUGGUGCCGCCUUUACUGUCAAAGAUUGUCUGCUUAAAACAUAUCCAUAACUUACAAAAGCUGCAAAAAAAGAAACAAUACAUGUCAUAAAAGUUUAAGAGUUGUUGAUCACUGUAUCUAUGUUGAUAAGCCUAUUUAGUCAAAUCUAAAGAAAAUCCAGAUAAUUCCUUCAA